rnacentral:rRNA from 1 species
AUUGAACGCUGGCGGCAUGCCUUACACAUGCAAGUCGAACGGCAGCACGGGAGCAAUCCUGGUGGCGAGUGGCGAACGGGUGAGUAAUAUAUCGGAACGUGCCCAGUCGUGGGGGAUAACGUAGCGAAAGCUACGCUAAUACCGCAUACGAUCUAUGGAUGAAAGCGGGGGAUCGCAAGACCUCGCGCGAUUGGAGCGGCCGAUAUCAGAUUAGGUAGUUGGUGAGGUAAAGGCUCACCAAGCCGACGAUCUGUAGCUGGUCUGAGAGGACGACCAGCCACACUGGGACUGAGACACGGCCCAGACUCCUACGGGAGGCAGCAGUGGGGAAUUUUGGACAAUGGGCGCAAGCCUGAUCCAGCAAUGCCGCGUGCAGGAUGAAAGGCCUUCGGGUUGUAAACUGCUUUUGUACGGAACGAAACGGUGAGCUCUAAUACAGUUUGCUAAUGACGGUACCGUAAGAAUAAGCACCGGCUAACUACGUG